GUGUCCCUGUCCUCAUGUGUCCAUCUGUCCCCGUGUCCGUGUUUCCCUGUGUCCAUCUGUCCCCAUGUCCGUGUGUUGAAGUCCGCAGGUGUCCGUGCCUUGCAGCACGCUGUCUGUGUGUCCCUGUGUCUGUCUGUCCCCGUAUCUGUGUCCCCAUGUCUGUGUCCAUGUGUCCCUGCCCUCGUCCGUGUGUCCCCAUGUCCCCGUGUCUGUCUGUCCCCGUGUCCGUGUGUCCCUGUGUCCAUCUGUCCCCAUGUCUGUGUGUCCCCAUGUUGUGUGUCCAAGUCCGCAGGUGUCCGUGUGUCCCUGUCCUCAUGUGUCCGUUUGUCCGCGUGUCUGUGUGUCCCCGUGUCCAUGUGUCUGUGUCUACAUGUGUCCAUGUGUCCCCAUGUCCCCGUGAGUCCCCAUGUCCCCAUGUCCAUCUGUCCCUGUAUCUGUGUCCCCAUGUCCGUGCCUCCCUGUGUCCGUCUGUCCCCACAUCUGUAUCCCCAUGUCCUCGUGUCCCU
rnacentral:lncRNA from 1 species